rnacentral:lncRNA from 1 species
UGGUGUCUCUCUCUCUCUGUGGGAGUUGGUGUCUCUCUCUCUCUCUCUGUGGGAGUUGGUGUCUCUCUCUCUCUGUGGGAGUCGGUGUCUCUCUCUCUCUCUCUGUGGGAGUCGGUGUCUCUCUCUCUGUGUGGGAGUCGGUGUCUCUCUCUCUCUGUGGGAGUUGGUGUCUCUCUCUCUCUGUGGGAGUCGGUGUCUCUCUCUCUCUCUCUCUCUGUGGGAGUCGGUGUCUCUCUCUCGCUCUCUCUCUCUCUGUGGGAGUCGGUGUUCUCUCUCUCUCUCUCUGUGGGAGUCGGUGUCUCUCUCUCUCUGUGGGAGUCGGUGUUCUCUCUCUCUCUCUCUCUCUCUCUGUGGGAGUCGGUGUUCUCUCUCUCUCUCUCUCUCUCUCUCUGUGGGAGUCGGUGUCUCUCUCUCUCUCUCUCUCUCUCUGUGGGAGUCGGUGUCUCUCUCUCUCUCUCUCUCUGUGGGAGUCGGUGUCUCUCUCUCUCUCUCUCUCUGUGGGAGUCGGUGUCUCUCUUUCUCUCUGUGGGAGUCGGUGUUCUCUCUCUCUCUCUCUGUGGGAGUCGGUGUCUCUCUUUCUCUCUGUGGGAGUCGGUGUCUCUCUCUCUCUCUCUCUGUGGGAGUCGGUGUCUCUCUUUCUCUCUGUGGGAGUCGGUGUCUCUCUCUCUCUCUCUGUGGGAGUCGGUGUCUCUCUUUCUCUCUGUGGGAGUCGGUGUCUCUCUCUCUCUCUCUCUCUGUGGGAGUCGGUGUCUCUCUUUCUCUCUGUGGGAGUCGGUGUCUCUCUCUCUCUCUGUGGGAGUCGGUGUCUCUCUUUCUCUCUGUGGGAGUCGGUGUCUCUCUCUCUCUCUCUCUGUGGGAGUCGGUGUCUCUCUUUCUCUCUGUGGGAGUCGGUGUCUCUCUCUCUCUCUCUCUCUGUGGGAGUCGGUGUCUCUCUCUCUCUCUCUGUGGGAGUCGGUGUCUCACGCCCGCGGCUCAGCCGAUGGUCUCUGGACUCGUCAUGAAGAUUUAAAUUUCAAACUUCAGUUUCAUUCAGGAUUUUUCUUCUUCAUUGUUUGA